rnacentral:rRNA from 1 species
UACGGGGGGGGCAAGCGUUUGUUCGGAAUUACUGGGCGUAAAGGGCUCGUAGGCGGCCAACUAAGUCAGACGUGAAAUCCCUCGGCUUAACCGGGGAACUGCGUCUGAUACUGGAUGGCUUGAGUUUGGGAGAGGGAUGCGGAAUUCCAGGUGUAGCGGUGAAAUGCGUAGAUAUCUGGAGGAACACCGGUGGCGAAGGCGGCAUCCUGGACCAACACUGACGCUGAGUGAGCGAAAGCGUGGGGAGCGAACAGG